CAUGCUAUGAUUGGCGUAUUUGAUCUCUUCCAAUUUUUUCUGAUUUGCCGGUUGGUUGUUAUCUCGGUGUUCAUGAAUCAUGAUCAACAAGCCAAAAAUGAAAAUAAGAAAAAUAAAAAAUAAAAGAAUAAAAAAAAAGCCACUAAAUGUCUCAUAUCCGUCUGCCACCUCCCGUGCUGCUUAAGGUAGUUCCCGAAACCCGUUCAGAUAUCGCCGUCCAGAUUCCCGCGGCUCCAUGAUGCAAAAUGGCGGAACUGAUUGCUUUGGUCCCCCCUACUAUUUUAAUUUUUAAAUGGCAGACAUGGCUAAUAUUCAGAUGUCCAGGGUGCAGAACAAGCAGGAUACGUGAAUGGAAGCCUGCCCAUGGCCCAUGUCGCGUCCGAAAACCAAAUGGGGGCCAGCCAUGGGUUGUUGUCGUUGUCCCGACAGGGCGGAAACCACUUACAACGCAUUUCAC
rnacentral:sRNA from 2 species